GGACCACAGAAUGUUUGCCAGUUGAUGAAUGUUUGUAUGGUUUCCAGUCUCAUGCUUCUAUGAAAAAGCUGCUAUAACAUUUGUGGAGAGGUUUUAUAUGCUCAAGAAAGUCACUCGACAUGAAGAGUCUCCGAGUCCUUUUAAGGAAUCAUCUCGUUCUUUCUCCUGUCACUCCCCGUUUGCUUCACUGGCAUACGCACUGGCAGCAUAAUCCUGCAAUUUAUAAUCUGGGACGUACAGUUCAAGGCUCUGCUGAGGCAAUUAUAUUCUCCAUGAGAGGCUGCUUAACUCUGGAUGUAGAAAACUCAAGUCUGAAAGGGAGACGACAGCCGUCUCCCUACGCAUGAGGAUGGAAAGGAAGGUUUUUCUUGCAGCUGUGUGCACACAUGCGCACUUAGGGCUUUAUCUUUCUUUUUUUGUCCCCUUUGGUUUUUUGAGACAGAGUCUUGUUUUGUAGUGCAGCCUGGCCUUGAACUUAUUAUAUAGACCAGGCCUCGCACUUGCAGGAUCCUCCUGUCUCAGCCUCCGGAGUGCUGGGAUUACAGGCGUGCACCACCACACCUGGCCAGUCACUUCUUUUUUACCACAUGCAAGGGACAACAGGGUCCCCAGUGUGGGAAUUUUGAAGAACUCAGGUAAUUUGCUGACUGGUUGGCAAUGCUUUCUUUUGGUUUCUAAGGAAUAAAUCAAGACUUGCAAGCAAAAGGCUACUCCUCAUUUUGGACACCAUCUGGUUCAAUUUUUCCCAAAAUCCCAUAUCCAGGGUGACCCAGGAUGACAGUAAAUGUAAAACCUGCUGGAAUUAGGUGCCCACAUUCAAGAACCACAUUUCAGAUUUUUGGUUCAAAAAGUAAUGGUGACACAAUGGGGUCAAACGAAGCUGUCAGAAAAAUAGCUGCUAAUAAUAGCUCACAGGUUUCCAGCUCCUUGCCAGUCACCAAAUGCUUCACAUGUGCUUUUCCUUAGCCUUCACAUUAACCCUCUGAGGUAGGUCCUGUACAAUAAAGAAAACUGAGGCUUAA